rnacentral:rRNA from 1 species
UACGAAGGGGGCUAGCGUUGCUCGGAAUCACUGGGCGUAAAGGGUGCGUAGGCGGGUCUUUAAGUCAGGGGUGAAAUCCUGGAGCUCAACUCCAGAACUGCCUUUGAUACUGAAGAUCUUGAGUUCGGGAGAGGUGAGUGGAACUGCGAGUGUAGAGGUGAAAUUCGUAGAUAUUCGCAAGGACACCAGUGGCGAAGGCGGCUCACUGGCCUGUUCUUGACGCUGAGGCGCGAAAGCUAGGGGAGCAAACGGG